AAAAGACCCCCUCCAUCCCAAAAAGCUUGUCUUAGAUUUGUCUAGAUACGGAUAUAUCUAGAUACAUCCGUAUCUAGACAAAUCUAAGACAAACUUUUUGGGACGGAGGUAAUACUAU
rnacentral:pre_miRNA from 1 species